UGCGAAAACAAGAGCGAACGGAGAGAACGCGGCAGGUAGCGCCGCCGCCCGCCGUUCUCCUCCCAUCAGCCGACGUCCUCCACCACUCGAUCCUUUGGCAGAGGAGCGAUGGAUUCUGGAGAACAUAUACGUUCCAUCUGGAGGUGAAGCGCCGUAUUCUUCCCCCUUGAGCGAGAAGCCGGAAGUGGAGUUUACGGCAAGUCGAGCACCAGCACACCGAGGAAGAAGCUCUCAGAUAGCAAGUAUCUUGUCGCUCUAGCUUGCUCCAAGUGCUUUGACCUGAUACAUGAUCAGGGCUCUUUAUGCAUACUCACUUGAAAACUUGGAAGGUUGCAGUCAACUGUAGUUCCAUUUUCCAGCAGAAACAAUAUACUACUAGUCCAAAAGAUAGGGAAUGCAAGGUUGGCAAGGAGGAUAUAUUUGUUCGAUGUAGAAGAUGGGAUGUCAUUGGCACAAGCAAUUAAGCAGCCAUAUCCAUGACUAAGGAAGAAGGAAACUCUGAUCAGUGGAAUUGGUUUUACUUCCAAGAUCAAAAUAAAUCUGAUCGGUGCAAUAGAUUCUACUCCCAAAGAUUAACCAGGAAGAAAAGUAGGGCACAGAGAUCAACUCACCGACGAAGGAGCUCUCUUGUCAUUCUCCAGUGCCACAAUCUGUUUAUCCUUGAACAUGCUUGAGCAUUCAUCUACAGUUGGC